UGAGUGUGUGUGUGCCAAGUCGCUCUGGAUAAGAGCGUCUGCUAAAUGACUUAAA
rfam:Salmo salar isolate Sally breed double haploid chromosome ssa11, whole genome shotgun sequence.